rnacentral:rRNA from 1 species
UGAGGAAUAUUGGUCAAUGGGCGGGAGCCUGAACCAGCCAAGCCGCGUGAAGGAAGAAGGCGCCAGGCGUCGUAAACUUCUUUUGUCGGGGAACAAAGGGCGCCACGCGUGGCGUUGUGAGUGUACCCGAAGAAAAAGCAUCGGCUAACUCCGUGCC